GACGAACGCUGGCGGCGUGCUUAACACAUGCAAGUCGAGCGGUAAGGCCCUUUCGGGGGUACACGAGCGGCGAACGGGUGAGUAACACGUGGGUGACCUGCCCUUAGCUCUGGGAUAAGCCUGGGAAACUGGGUCUAAUACCGGAUAUGACUCCAUGACGCAUGUUGUGGGGUGGAAAGCCUUGUGCGGCUAGGGGAUGGGGCCCGCGGCCUAUCAGCUUGUUGGUGGGGUGAUGGCCACCAAGGCGACGACGGGUAGCCGGCCUGAGAGGGCGACCGGCCACACUGGGACUGAGACACGGCCCAGACUCCUACGGGAGGCAGCAGUGGGGAAUCUUGCGCAAAUGGGCGAAAGCCUGACGCAGCGACGCCGCGUGAGGAUGACGGCCU
rnacentral:rRNA from 1 species